rnacentral:sRNA from 1 species
UUGUAUUAUUACUGAGUGGUGUUGGUGGCUGCAUUAGGAUGUUGAUUAUUUGCUUGCUGCUGUUG